AGAUUCUUUAAAACAGUCCAGAGAGGCUGAGAAGGAUAACGGAUAGACGGGAUGCGUGUAUAGGCGCGCACCUUGUCCUAAAACCCCUCUAUGCUCUGGCAGGAGGGGUUUUUUCUU
rfam:Bacillus subtilis subsp. subtilis str. 168 complete genome.